rnacentral:miRNA from 1 species
AUUAAAGUUCUCNAUGGUUGUGUUGUCAGGAUGCUUGGGUGUGUAUAUAAAUAUAUAUAUAUAUAUAUAUAUAUAUAUAUACACACACCCAAGCAUCCUGACAACACAACCAUGCUCAAC